UUCUUCUUGCCAAACAGAACAAACAUUUAAAAACAUUUUAAAAAUUAAGUCGAAUAAGUAAGUAAUGCAAACACCCUCUUAACCUUCCGAGCCCUAGCUCUCAGGCGAUUUAGGCGACCCUACCGCCGGUGCUUCCUUCUCAUCAUCGGUGAUGUGUUCACCUCCGUCAACCAAUUUGUGAUUUUAUAUUCUAGUUCUAGAUUUUCGUUAUGAAUUUGGUUUUGAUUUGUUGAAGGUUAGUCCACAGACUCGCAAAAUGAGAGCUGCCUCUAAAAGAAGGGGUACUGAAAUCAAAUGACAUCUAUAUCAAUGCAGAUAAGGCAUCCGUACAUCGAAAAAAAUGUGUUAGUGCUAUCGUUCCUUUUCAUCUACAGAUUUCGUCGAGAAUCAUUUAACACCUUUCUCCCUGUUCCCAAUUUCACUUGACAUUUGGAUGUCGUGACUGAUCUCUGCAAAUCUGAUUUCGUGAUUUAGAGUGAGGAUAUUUCUAAUGACGUGAUUUUUUAGAAUAUGCUUACUGGAUUUCCUUCUUACUUAAUAUACAUGCAUAUCUCUGUCUUGUGUGAUUUCAGAAGCCCCAACUACAGUAUUAUGUUCGAUUUUGUAUUUGUUGAGCUAAGGGUUAAAUUAGGACUCAUAGGGAGCAAAUUUGUACUAACCAUGUUUCAUUUUUAGGCUUGAACAGCCUUGUUAGGGGAGAACCUUCUUUCCAAAAAAAGAGAUAUGUUUCAUUUUAGGCCGGCUAUUGCAAAAUUCCGUCAUAUUGAAUUUCACAGAGCUAGAUUAAUUUAGUUCAUUGAUCUUUACCAUGUUCAAGUUAGCAGGAGGAUACUUGAGAAAUGUUUGGGAAAUAACAAAUUAUGUUGCUCAACACAUUUCCAAGGACACUUGAUCUUGUUAAAUGUGUGGUAAAUGGGUAUGUUUAUAUCGAAGAAGCUGUGUCUAGAAUGCUUUUUAUGAUGUUCUCUUUUUUGAUUAAUUUAGUUCAUUGAUCCUUUUUUUUUUAUUGAUAGGUUCUUGUGGGUUGUUAGAUACCUGAAUAUUGAUUAAUUGCAGAUGUUAAGAACAAGUGCGUGAGCAGUUCUUGCAGAAAAAAGUUAAUUGUCCAGAAGAAGUGAAAUGACUUUGAUAGGAUCAAGAUCAUGUUGGCAAAGAUAAAGAUAACUUAACUUUCAGCUUGCAGUUAUAAAGAUUGAAAUGACUUUCAUUCAUGCCUAUUUGGGAUGAUUUUUUCUGUAACCAUUUUAAUAUGAUGGCAAAACACUUAUUUUUGUAGUGAAGUUGCAUCUUUUUUCCAAUGUAUGCAGCAAAAAUGGAUUUUUUUUGCCUAUCUGUGUAGCCAUUUUUCAUAUUGAUGCAAAUUUAUGCUAUUGUUUUUGGUUGUUAAAAAUGGUAAAAUUAUAGUAAAUCACUCAUUGCUUUUAUUCGUUUGUAGAUCAUAUUACAUUUUACUUAUAGCAAUUGUUAUAAUUUGUGAUAUUGCAGAAGGCUGGAGUUGUAAGAUUAAAGAAGGAAACCACAACCUAAUUAAUAUCAUAUUGCCAGGUUGGCCGAGAUGAGACCAUGUAAUAACAAAUUUAAACAUUGCUUCUAAUCAAGAUAUGAUUAUGUUUGUAUAGAAACAAUAAAUAUGAGAAAGAUAUCUAAUUAAUUUUUUAUCUAUAUUGUACACUUCUUUUAUAG
rnacentral:lncRNA from 1 species